AUCGAACGCUGGCGGCAGGCCUAACACAUGCAAGUCGAACGAGUGGCGGACGGGUGAGUAAUGUCUGGGAAACUGCCUGAUGGAGGGGGAUCACUACUGGAAACGGUAGCUAAUACCGCAUACCAUCAGCUGUGCCCAGAUGGGAUUAGAGAGUUGGUGGGGAAACGGCUCACCAAGGAGACGAUCCCUAGCUGGUCUGAGAGGAUGACCAGCCACACUGGACAUGAGAAACGGUCCAGACUCCUACGGGAGGCAGCAGUGGGGAAUAUUGCACAAUGGGCGCAAGCCUGAGGCAGCCAUGCCGCGUGUAUGAAGAAGGACUUCGGGUUUUAAAGUACUUUCAGCGGGGAGGCGUUACCCGCAGAAGAAGCACCGGCUAACUCCGCGCCAGCAGCCGCGGUAAUUC
rnacentral:rRNA from 1 species